rnacentral:rRNA from 1 species
GACGAACGCUGGCGGCGUGCUUAACACAUGCAAGUCGAACGGAAAGGCCCGCUUGCGGGUACUCGAGUGGCGAACGGGUGAGUAACACGUGGGCAACCUGCCCUCAGCUUCGGGAUAACACUUGGAAACAGGUGCUAAUACCGGAUAAUAACCUUUCAUCGCAUGGUGGUUGGUUCAAAGUUUUUCGGCUGAGGAUGGGCCCGCGGCCUAUCAGCUUGUUGGUGGGGUAAUGGCCUACCAAGGCGACGACGGGUAGCCGGCCUGAGAGGGCGACCGGCCACACUGGGACUGAGACACGGCCCAGACUCCUACGGGAGGCAGCAGUGGGGAAUAUUGCGCAAUGGGCGGAAGCCUGACGCAGCGACGCCGCGUGAGGGAUGACGGCCUUCGGGUUGUAAACCUCUUUCAGCUCUGACGAAGCGCAAGCGACGGUAGGAGCAGAAGAAGCACCGGCCAAUUACGUGCCAGCAGCCGCCGCCG